UCAGAACGAACGCUGGCGGCGCGUUUUAAGCAUGCAAGUCGAGGGGGAUUAUGUUGGGUAACCAAUAUAUGAGACCGGCGAACGGGUGAGUAACACGUAGGUGAUCUACCUUAAGGACUAGGAUAGCCUCUGGAAACAGAGAGUAAUACUGGAUAUGCAUUUUCGUUUACGAACGAAAAUGGAAAAGUGCUUUGGCACUGCCUUAUGAUGAGCCUGCGGCUGAUUAGCUUGUUGGUGUGGUAAAGGCAUACCAAGGCAGAGAUCAGUAGCCGGCCUGAGAGGGUGAACGGCCACACUGGGACUGAGAUACGGACCAGACUCCUACGGGAGGCAGCAGUGGGGAAUCUUGGACAAUGGGCGCAAGCCUGAUCCAGCCAUGCCGCGUGAGUGAAGAAGGCCUUCGGGUUGUAAAGCUCUUUCAGCGGAGACGAUGAUGACGGUAUCCGCAGAAGAAGCCCCGGCUAACUUCGUGCCAGCAGCCGCGGUAAUACGUAGGGUGCGAGCGUUAAUCGGAAUUACUGGGCGUAAAGCGUGCGUAGGCGGCCGUGCAAGUCAGAUGUGAAAGCCCCGGGCUUAACCUGGGAAUUGCGUUUGAAACUGCGGGGCUGGAGUUUGUCAGGGGAAGAUAGAAUUUCGUGUGUAGCGGUGAAAUGCGUAGAUAUACGAAAGAAUACUUAUAGCGAAGGCGUUCUUCUGGGGCAAUACUGACGCUGAGUCACCAAAGCGUGGGGAGCAAACAGGAUUAGAUACCCUGGUAGUCCACGCCCUAAACGAUGUCCGCUAGCUAUUGGGCGCAGGCCCAGUGGCGAAGCUAACGCGUUAAGCGGACCGCCUGGGGAGUACGGUCGCAAGAUUAAAACUCAAAGGAAUUGACGGGGACCCGCACAAGCGGUGGAUGAUGUGGUUUAAUUCGAUGCAACGCGAAAAACCUUACCUGUCCUUGACAUGUACGGAAUCCCAUGGAGACAUGGGAGUGCCUUUUGGAGCCGUAACACAGGUGUUGCAUGGCUGUCGUCAGCUCGUGUCGUGAGAUGUUGGGUUAAGUCCCGCAACGAGCGCAACCCUUGUCCUUAGUUGCCAUCAUUGAGUUGGGCACUCUAGGGAGACUGUCGGCGUCAAGCCGGAGGAAGGCGGGGAUGACGUCAAGUCCUCAUGGCCUUUAUGGGCUGGGCUACACACGUGCUACAAUGGUGGUGACAGAGGGUUGCAAAGGGGUGACCUGGAGCGAAUCCUAAAAAGCCAUCUUAGUUCGGAUUGCACUCUGCAACUCGGGUGCAUGAAGUUGGAAUCGCUAGUAAUCGCGGAUCAGCAUGCCGCGGUGAAUACGUUCUCGGGCCUUGUACACACCGCCCGUCACACCAUGGGAGUUGGUUUUACCUGAAGGCGGCGAGCCAACCUUUUAGGAGGCAGCCGACCACGGUAGGGUUAGCGACUGGGGUGAAGUCGUAACAAGGUAGCCGUAGGGGGG
rnacentral:rRNA from 1 species